GGAGCUGAAGUACAGAUGUGAGUUUUGCGUGUGAGCAACAGUAAAUAAGUCAACUGAAUCAUAAUAAUAAUAAUAAAAAAAAAUGUGAGGAUGGUAAAAACCGAUGUCUUUUAAACUGCUUUUUAAAAUGUACUUCAAAACGAUUAAUCACCAAGAUUAAUUAGUGUUUAGAAUAUUUAUUUGUUGCAGCCCUAAUAUGAUGAAACACACUGCUUUAUCUUUACCACUAACACGAAUGUUAACCACUUCUUCUUUCAGCUGCUUCCUUUGAGGUCGUCAUCUGCAGGUCCUGCUCCACCACAUCACGCAUCUUCUCUGAGGUCUUCUACUUUUCCUCCUGCCUGCUGAAGUUUUACAAACCGGCUUCACGCAGACGGCGCAGCCACAGAGAUCUGAAGGUAAAUCUCUUACUGGUUUCUCUUAAUAUUCCCUUAAUCAACUCUGGGAGAAUCUCCCACCCCACUCCUUAUGAUUAAAUUAGACUGCUAGACUUCUGUUCCAAGCCAUGGCUGCUUAGAAAAGGUCCAUUCAGACUUAAGAUAAUCAACGGGGCUUUAUGAAGAAAAUCCACAUCUGUGUAGCUUAAAAUAUGGAAAAAGUAGAAGGUAUUAAGCUUUUUUCUUUUUCUAAAGAAUGACGUGACAUGUGUCUGUACUGAGGUAAAGCAGGGCAGGUUUAUUAAAUCACAUCUCAUCUCCUAAUGAAAGACGUUGAGUUUGGUGGGAGGGAUGUCAAGUGACCUGCAGUCCCAUGACUAGAAAAGUGAGUAGAAGCAAUGAACAGUCCCACAGUUUCAAACUGAAAACAGGGUGAUUUCAUGUUUUUUCACAGUAAGAUUUGUUCAUAGUGUUUGUAUUGAAAUAAUCUGCAGUAUAUGAUUAUUGUGUGGUUAGAUAAGAUAAUCAAAUUACUCCAUCUCUGGAUACUUUUUCCUGUUUCUGUUUUUCAGGCAUACAAAAGGUCAUUCUUUCCAUUAUGGUGAUGUGUUAUUUCACUACAAAAUAACCUAAUUAGAUCAGAACGAAAGUGUCUGUGUGUCUGUGGAGUGAUACGCUGUCUUGAGAUAAACCCACAGAAUUAGACUGGUUUCAAACCCAGAGCUGAAUUCUGUGGAGCUGCUGAAGAUUUCAUCCUAACAGCACAGGCGUUAAACUUCAACUCUUCUAGGAAAACUCUCCAGUAAGAGAAGGCAAAGCUCUCUUUAUUUUAUUUCAUCCCUCCUACUGUAAAUCACAAUAACAAUGACAAUAAAGGGCUAUUCUAUCAGGCCAGACUGCAGAAUGACAGUCUGCAGUAUUUAGAAUGCGAUUCCUAAAUGCUGCAAUUCUUUGAGUGGCCACUUGAUGAUGGUCCCAGAUGGCUGUUGGUUGCAAACAACAAACAUACCCCAUGGUCUUUGAUUUUGUAUUUUAAGUGUCAAAGAUGGUGUUUUGCUGCUCUAAUGCUCGUUUUUUCAAGCCAGAAGUUGUCAUAUUUAACAAGAUGAUUCAGCAUGAAGCUAUCAGCGAACAGUUUGGUUAGAAUAUCCAUCCUGAAAUCAGACGGCUCAGACACACUAGAAUUUAAAUCUGGAGAACAGGAUUUUUGGAUGGGCUGUACUAACAGAAGAUGACAGUCUGGGAUUGACAUUAAAAAUUAUAAUAACACUCCUCAGUGUAAAAAACUAUCUCAUCAUCUGCAUGAUGGUGAUAUGCAAAUGACGAUAAAGUCAAAAAUCUAAACUGUAUGCCUGUGAUCUUUGGACCCUCAGGCAGCCCUGCGUUAAAAAACCAACAUGAUUCAGUCAUGGAAACAACUGCAUGGACUCAGCAACAUUUCCAGAAAUCACAGUCUUUGAGCACAGCUCUCUGUGCCAUCCCCAAAUGCAGGGUAACGCACAUCUAUGCAAAGAACGUCUCUGGGAAAAAGCUUGUUAAAAGGCCAAGUGGAAAAUUGUUCUGUGGACAACCUGAAAUCUGAAAUUCUUACUGGAAAACAUGGAUGCUGUGUCCUCCGGACUGAGGACAAGAGGGACCAUCUGACUUAUCAGAACUCAGUGCUGGAGUGGCCUGCUUGCAUUCCAGACCUUUCAUCAAAAGAAAAUACUCGAAGCAUCGUGAAACAAGAAAUACAACUGUUAAGCAGCUAGAGUCAGCUAUCAGAGAAGAAAAGGACCAAAGGUCCAGCAGCUGCUCUCCCCAGACCUCGGAUAUUUAGGGACUGGAUAUAGAAGAAGAGGGGACACAGGACACCGCCACACAGUGGUAACCAUGAGCCUGUUUCUACAUCAAAUUCAAAAUGAGCUAAUAUUCACAAAAUUGUAUAUUUUCUCAGUUGAAGCAUGUAAUGUUUGGGUUUGUGAAAAAAAUAUGUUUUUUCUGAAAUUUGCAGAUCACUUGUGUAUUAAAUAUGUAUGAUGAUGCACGACAGUUCAACUAAAACUAAACGCUUAGAAAAAACAUUAAAAAAAGCCAAAGAAACAA